rnacentral:miRNA from 1 species
UGAAACUGUGUGAGGUGGUUUU